rnacentral:lncRNA from 1 species
GGCUCGCGGGGGAUCUUGACGAAGCAGUCGUUGAGUGAGAGGUUGUGGCGGAUGCUGUUCUGCCAGGCGGGGAACUUCUCCCUGUAGUAGGGGAAGCGGUUGCUGAUGAACUCGCAGAUGCCGCUCAGGGUCAGCUUCUUCUGCGGGCUCUGCAGGAUGGCCAUGGUGAUGAGCGCGAUGUACGAGUAAGGCGGCUUCACUAGGCGCUCGCUACCGCUCCCGGCCCCGGCGGUUCUCCACGCCGCGCCCCCUCACUUAGCCCGCCUUCCUCGGCCUCUGGCCCUGGCGUGGGGCGCAGGAGCGGUCCAGGCGGGCGCGGGACGCCGGGCGCCGAGCAGCUCGGGAGGGCGCGGGCAGGGACAGUAGCGGGGGGGCAGGGGGCUGGGUGUCAGGGACGCCGAAGCCCCGGUAGUCGAAAGUCCCGUUUUAA